rnacentral:rRNA from 1 species
UACGGAGGGGGCUAGCGUUGUUCGGAAUUACUGGGCGUAAAGCGCGCGUAGGCGGACCUGCAAGUCGGGGGUGAAAGCCCGAGGCUCAACCUCGGAACUGCCUUCGAUACUGCGGGUCUCGAGUCCGGGAGAGGUGAGUGGAAUUCCUAGUUCGUAGAGGUGAAAUUCGUAGAUAUUAGGAAGGAACACCAGUGGCGAAGGCGGCUCACUGGCCCGGUACUGACGCUGAGGCGCGAAAGCGUGGGGAGCAAACAGG